UUGAAAGUUUAAAAGAUAGAGAAUCCAAGUCAAACAAAACACUAGAGAAACUGUCUCUAGAUAUGAAAGAAUAUGAAAAAAACUUACUCAAAAUAAAUAAAGAGAUGCAAGUUUACACAGAUAAAACAGACAGUAUACCUGAAGAAAUGAAAAGACAGUCCGCUUUGAUUGUUACUUUACAAGAAGAAGUAAAGAAUGACGCUGCGAAGCUAAACGUGAUGUACAGAAUUGUACAACAAAGAAUGAUGCCCAUUGACAAAAUUAUUCAAGUAUUUAAUCAGAAUUUUGAGGCUAAGGAGCAAACUACAAAAAAGAUAGGAUUAAUAGAAACUGAUGUACUGAAAUUGAUGACAGAUUUUAAACUAAUUGGUGAGUUUUUAAUUUUAAUGCGAG